rnacentral:rRNA from 1 species
GGUAAUGCCGGAUGUUCCAGUUGAUCGCAUGGUCUUCUGGGAAAGCUUUCGCGGUAUGGGAUGGGGUCGCGUCCUAUCAGCUUGACGGCGGGGUAACGGCCCACCGUGGCUUCGACGGGUAGCCGGCCUGAGAGGGCGACCGGCCACAUUGGGACUGAGAUACGGCCCAGACUCCUACGGGAGGCAGCAGUGGGGAAUAUUGCACAAUGGGCGCAAGCCUGAUGCAGCGACGCCGCGUGAGGGAUGGAGGCCUUCGGGUUGUAAACCUCUUUUAUCGGGGAGCAAGCGUGAGUGAGUUUACCCGUUGAAUAAGCACCGGCUAACUACGUGCCAGCAGCCGCGGUAAUACGUAGGGUGCAAGCGUUAUCCGGAAUUAUUGGGCGUAAAGGGCUCGUAGGCGGUUCGUCGCGUCCGGUGUGAAAGUCCAUCGCUUAACGGUGGAUCCGCGCCGGGUACGGGCGGGCUUGAGUGCGGUAGGGGAGACUGGAAUUCCCGGUGUAACGGUGGAAUGUGUAGAUAUCGAAGAGA